rnacentral:rRNA from 1 species
GUCCACGCCGUAAACGAUGUCAACUAGCCGUUGGGAGUCUUGAACUCUUAGUGGCGCAGCUAACGCAUUAAGUUGACCGCCUGGGGAGUACGGCCGCAAGGUUAAAACUCAAAUGAAUUGACGGGGGCCCGCACAAGCGGUGGAGCAUGUGGUUUAAUUCGAAGCAACGCGAAGAACCUUACCAGGCCUUGACAUCCAAUGAACUUUCCAGAGAUGGAUUGGUGCCUUCGGGAGCAUUGAGACAGGUGCUGCAUGGCUGUCGU